rnacentral:rRNA from 1 species
AGUGAACGCUGGCGGUAGGCCUAACACAUGCCAGUCGAACGGCAGCACAGUAAGAGCUUGCUCUUACGGGUGGCGAGUGGCGGACGGGUGAGGAAUACAUCGGAAUCUACUUUUUCGUGGGGGAUAACGUAGGGAAACUUACGCUAAUACCGCAUACGACCUACGGGUGAAAGCAGGGGAUCUUCGGACCUUGCGCGAUUGAAUGAGCCAAUGUCGGAUUAGCUAGUUGGCGGGGGAAAGGCCCACCAAGGCGACGAUCCGUAGCUGGUCUGAGAGGAUGAUCAGCCACACUGGAACUGAGACACGGUCCAGACUCCUACGGGAGGCAGCAGUGGGGAAUAUUGGACAAUGGGCGCAAGCCUGAUCCAGCCAUACCGCGUGGGUGAAGAAGGCCUUCGGGUUGUAAAGCCCUUUUGUUGGGAAAGAAAAGCAGCAGGUUAAUACCCCGCUGUUCUGACGGUACCCAAAGAAUAAGCACCGGCUAACUUCGUG